rnacentral:rRNA from 1 species
UUCUUAGUUCGUGGAGUGAUCUGUCUGCUUAAUUGCGUUUCACUAAGGGCCCAUAAAUUCAAGGUAUGUUAGCUAUCGUUUCUCAAUUGACCCCUUGUCUUCGAUAAGCGCGUGUCUUUUAGAGUUUAAACAUUGCGCAUGCUGUUGGGUCCUGAAAGCAACGAACGUGACCGCAACGUCUUAUUGCCUUUAUCUUGCUAUAUUUUAAUUUAAUUAAAAAUAGCUAACAGAGGCUAAUUUAAAAUUAGACGGACCGCUGUACUUUUCUUAAACCAGAGGAAGGUUGCGGCAAUAACAGGUCUGUGAUGCCCUUAGAUGUUCCGGGCUGCACACGUGCUACAAUGAUCAGUACAGUGAGCAUCUCAAUAUUAUACACCGUAUUAAGCGCUUAGUUGCGAUUAUUGGCUCAUUAUUGGGUCUUUUAAUUGUAUUUCUAAUGCGCGCGGUAAAGCCUGCUUCGAGAGUAAGUGGGUAAUCCAUUGGAAGUAAUGAUUUCUCUUUUUAUAGCACACCUAUAUACGGCAUUCAUUCCCGGGACGACUAGUUUCGUCUUUUUUGU